AAGCCAAAGAAGGAGUCAAAGGUCUUGAUGAGGAGCUGGUCGUGCAACGUCGAUCCCAAGAGCUUGGUAGCGGCCUGAACCAGUGGCGAGUCAGAGGAGACAUUUGGAGGCUUCAUUGAUCAAGUAUUGAGAAAGGUAUUAACAUUCUUUCUCUUUCAUUUGUGUUUGGAUAAUGCUCAAUAAAUUUAGGGUUUUUUUACGACAUACUUUAAAUGAAGGGGAAUUCUGAGUGCUCAAAUCUCAGGUUGUGUUUUGGGUGGCUGAGAUGGGAUAUCGCAGUAUUUCAUGGUUGGUUG
rnacentral:lncRNA from 1 species